rnacentral:lncRNA from 1 species
GCCUGAGUAAGAAAGCGGCAGAUCCUCUGGUUUGCCAGACAUACUUUUCUGGUUGCUCACAUCUCUAGUGUCACAACAGGAGCCAGGUAAAAUAACUCAGAUUUUGGUUUCUCUGUUUUUCCUCUCCUCCUCACCCCCUCCUACUGUCUCUCUUCGCACUCCCUACCUUAUAUAUGGCAUCUGGACACUUGGGAUGAUUUGAGUCAGUUAAUGUUUGAAAUAUAAUACUGAGUUGAGCAAAAGUUCACGAGAGUGCAACCUGUUCUUGGUCCAUGAGUGCACAGGGACUGAAAUACAGCAGGAGAGAAGCAGAACUGGGAAGUAGUGGGUCUGAUAUGCCCCAGUGCUAAGGUAGCCUCUGCUGCUCUGCUGGCUUCAGUCUCAAGGAGUGGCCAGUUACCCUAGGCUGAUGCUUCCUCCAUACAGAAACCUAGGUUAUUCACAUGCCUCUUCCUAGACCUCCUUGUCCUCAGUCUUCCAAAUGAUCUGCCAAUCCUCUGAAUAACCAGCUAGGCCAUCGUCCAUGAGUUAUUGUAUAGCCUAGCCUUGGACCACUUAUCUUCCCACGUAAGGUGGGUGAUGGGGCAACACCUGAAGCUCUGACUACUGGGAAGAUUUGCCUUCAUUGCAGUCUUCUGGGUCACCCAAGAGUGUGUUGAAGUGCAGCAGCAACUCAGCCUUUUUUCUCCUACAUCAGCUGGUCCUGAAGGCCUCCCUCACAGUGAAGAAAUGGUGCUGGGGCAACAGGGGUGGAGGAUAUGUGGGCCUGGACCACCUGUUCAUGAAGCUUACAUGUGUCCUCUGAACUUGCUCAUGCCUCAUCCCUGUUGUUCCUCUUCCAUCUUUUAACCAAUUCUUUUUUUGUGUGUCUCAGAAAGAUGUGAUACUGAUAAUACUAUGCCACCUGCAAAGGCUCAAAAACCUGUGGAAAUACGUUCCAUAUUUCCUGUGUGGAGGACUUAGUAAUAGCUUGUGAAACAAAUGUUGGUACAAGUUGUCCAUAGUUGAGCUAUGUCUGGGAAAUUUGACAAGAGGUAAAAAGAGAAUUUCAGAGGGAGCCAAAAUACCUCUAGUCUUCAAGUAGGUAGGACUGGCUGAUGGCUAGAUGAUGAAGGAGGCAAAGUUUGAUUUUGCUUUCUAUAUAAUUUUGUAUUUGAAUAUUUUCAUAGUAAAAAUUAGAGAGUGCUUGCGCUUUGGAGUUCAAAAGACAGAGAUUAAAAUCCUAGCUCCACUGUCUUCCAGCUGAGUGACCUCAGGCAACUUAUUUAACCUGUCUGAGAUUCAGUUUGCUAGCUAAGAUUGUAAUGACAAGUACCUACCUCAUAGGGUUACUGUGGGGCUUACAAGACAUAUUCUUUGUAAAGUGCUUAGCUUCAUGCCUGACACAUAGGAGGCAUGAAGUGCUGAAUGAAUGAGUGGAUAACUGGUAUUAUUUUGAGCUGAUAUGUAUAGGGUACCCAGUGCAGCACCUGUUGUGAAGAAAAAGUGAAGGGGAUGAGAAAAAAGGAUCAAGAUGAGUUUUAGUACCUCAAAUGUUAGCACCUCUGCAAGCUGGAAGGUGAUAGGUACUGAGUGAUGGGCAAAGGGUGAGCCUGGUGACAUUUAUAUGUCUUACAACUCCUCUUCCCCCAACUCUCUCUCUGUGUUUGAGGUGUCACCAUCCCCAGUCUUGAUGCCCCAUCCCUCCUCAACUACUCCCUAGUUUCCUAGGGACUCCCUGAGUCCUCCCCGCCCCAUUCUUUGUCUUUUCUGCACUGAUUCAGUAUGUUUCUCCUGAUGGGAUCACCCUCCUGCCUUUCCUGCUUAUCAAAAUCCUACUCAUCCCACCUCCUCUAUUCAGCCUUCUGGGGUGAAUCACCCAUGUAAAUCUUCCUCCUUGCUACUUUGUAUCAAAUGGUCAGGCCUGCAGUUAGUACAGAAGGGGUCUCUGCUUACUUCACUUGUGUAUUUCUCAUUUUCCUCUGAAGAAUUUAGAGUGGUCAUUACAGGGCUCAAAAAAAAAAGUACUGGCUCAAUACAUGUUUGUUGAAUAAUUAUCAUUUUGUCUGUUUAAGCCUUCUCGCAAAUAAACAGGGAAGUCCCUGUGUAAUUUUCAGAGUGGCUUUGGAGACAUCAUACUACUUGCCUGAGUCUCAAUUUCAUUAUAUAUAAAAAAUGGAGUGUUGAAGUUGAUCACUGAGGUCCCUUUCAGUAAGAAAAGUACAUGAUUCUGUGAAACCUGAGGCAAGAACUCAUAGCUGUCACCCAGAUGUUUGCAUGGCUGGCUUCUUGUCAUUCAGGUCACCUAGUCACUCUAACAUAUGACCCCAGCUUUUAAUUUUAGAUAGUGAUACAUUUUGCCUCCCUCCCUUUGUUCUUUCUUUUUGUCUUUGUUUAUUGUCUGUCUCCUUGCUAAGAUGUGAAAUCCAAGAGGUCAGAGCUUAUGUUUGAUUCACAGUUGUAUCCUCAGCACCUACACCAGUGCCUGGCACAUAGUAGGUGCUCUAUAAAUAUUUGUUCAUGGAAUGAAUGAGGUCCAUUCAACUGGAUAAAGACAUUUAUACUUGAACUGUUAGUAAUCCAGACUCCUUACCACUGGAGAAGUUAUUCUAGUUCAUCCCAUUUUCUUCUAGAACCGGACAUAAUUGGCCUGGGUAAAUAGCAGGAAGUGCCACAGCACCUUCAGCUGCUUAGACAUUAUGUUUGGCAUGUGUUCUUCUUGCCUUUGCAUUAGUGCAGUGACUUCUUAAAGCCCUAGCUUCUGGAAUCACGUAUGAUGGUGACUCAGCCUUGGUGACAUCAGCCUUGUGGUGAUGAUCUGAGGAUUUGUUUAAACUUAUGCAUUCUUUGGGCCAGUCUUCUCUCCUUUUCAAGGCAGUCCAGACUGCCUUGAAAGGCAGUCAUUUAGUAAACCUUGUGGAUACCUUUUCAUCCCCACUGGCUGGUUCAUUGCACUGUCUGGUUGACAUGGUUUCCCAAAAGGUUGUUAGCUUGUUUGUAUAAUGGCUGGUUCCAUCUGCAGUGCUUCAUUAUUUUCUUUUUAAAUUUUUGUGGGUACAUAGUAGGUGUAUAUAUUUAUGGAGUACAUGAGUUUUUGUUUUUGUUUUUGUUUUUUUUUUUUUUUGAGACAGAGUCUCACUCUCGCUCUGUUGCCUAGGCUGGAAUGCAGUGGCACAAUCUCAGCUCACUGCAACCUCACCUCCUAGGUUCAGGUGACUCUCCCACCUUAGCCUCCCGAGUAGCUGGGAUUAUAGGCAUGCGCCACCAUGCCUGGGUAAUUUUUGUAUUUUUAGUAGAGACAGGGUUUCACCAUGUUGGCCAGGCUGGUCUUGGACUCCUGACCUCAGGUGAUUCACCCGCGUCGGCCUCCCAAAGCUCUGGGAUUACAGGCUUAAGCCACCGCUCCCAGCCGAGAUGUUUUGAUACAGUCAUGCAAUGCAUAAUUGUCACAUCAUGGAAGAUGGGGUCUCUAUUCCCUCAAGCACUUAUCCUUUGUGCUACAAUCAAAUUAUACCCUCUUAGUUAUUUUAAAAUGUACAAUUAAAUUAUUAUUGACUAUAGUCACCCUGUUGUGCUAUCAAAUACUAGGUCUUAUCAUUCUUUCUAACAAUUAUUUUUGUGCCCAUUAACUAUACCCUUCUUCCCCUUCCUCUCACCCCCAUCUCCCAACUACCGUUCUCAGUCUCUGCUAACCAUUCUUCUAUUCUCUAUCUUCAUGAGUUCCAUUUUUUUGAUUUUCAGAUCCCACAAAUAAGUGAGAACAUGCAAAUGUUUGUCUUUCUGUGCCUGGCUUAUUUCACUUAACCUAAUGACCUCCAGUUUCAUCCAUGUUGUUGCAAAUGAUAAGAUCUCAUUCUUUUUUAUGACUAAAUAGUACUCCAUUGUGUAUAUGUACCACAUUUUCUUUAUUGAUUCAUUUGUUUAUGAACACUUAGGUUACUUCCAAAUCUUGGCUAUUGUGAACAGUGCUGCAACAAACACGAGACUGCAGAUUUCUCUUUGAUAUACUGAUUUCCUUUCUUUUGGGUAUAUACCCAGCAGUGGGAUUGCUGGAUCAUAUGGAAGCACUAUUUUUAGUUUUUUGAGGAAUCUCCAAACUGUUCUGCAUAGUGGUUAUACUAAUUUACAUUCCCACUGACAGUGUAUGAGGGUUCUCUUCUCUCUGCAUCCUCGCCAGCAUUUGUUAUUGCCUGUCUUUUGGAUAUAAGCCAUUCUAACUGGGGUGAGAUGAUAUCUCAUUGUAGUUCUGAUUUGCUUUUCUCUGAUGGUCAGUGAUGUUGAGUGCCUUUUCAAAUGCCUGUUUGUCAUUUGUAUGUCUUCUUUUGAGAAAUGUCUAUUCAAGUCUUUUGCCCGUGUUUAAAUUGGAUCAUUAGAUUUUUUUCCUAUAGAAUGGUUGACAUCCUUAUGUAUUCUCGUUAUUAAUCUCUUGUCAGAUGAGUAGUUUGCAAAUAUUUUCUUCCACUCCAUGGGUUGUCUCUUUACUUUGUUGAUUGUUUCCUUUCCUGUGCAGUUUUUUAACUUGAUGUGAUCCCAUUUGCCAUUUUUACUUUGGUUGCCUGUGUUUGUGGGGUAUUACUCAAGAAAUUUUUGCCCAGACCAAUGUCCUGGAGAGUUUCUUCAAUAUUUUCUUGUACUAGUUUCAUAGUUUGAGGUUAUAGAUUUAAGUGUUUAAUCCAUUUUGAUUUGAUUUUUGUAUAUGGCAAGAGAUAAAGGUCUAGUUUUAUUCUACCGCAUAUGGAUAUCCAGUUUUCUCAGCUCCAGAAUAUGUUCUUGGCAUCUUUGCUGUAAAUUAGUUCAUUGUAGGCGUGUGGAUUUGUUUCCGGGUUCUCUGUUUUGUUCUGUUGGUUUAUGCAUCUAUUUUUAUGCCAGUACCAUGCUACUUUGUUACUGUAGCUCUGAAGUAUAAUUAGACGUUGGGUAAUGUGAUUCCUCCAGUCUUGUUCUUUUUGUUCAGGAUAGUUUUGGCUAUCCUGGUCUUUUGUGGUUCCAUGUAAACUUUAGGAUUGUUUUUUCAAUGUCUGUGAAUAAUGUCAUUG